GGGCGAGAGCCUACGUGACUGACAUCAUGCGCACAGCACAUCAGAGCACCGCCGUGUGCACAGCAAUUUCGCUGUAGGCUAUUCUAUCCGGUCUCUUGUUGUAUUCCCUACUUUUUCACGACGCUGGCCCAGCACGCCCUUCAAGACGCUUUUCAAUUGCUCAUUUCAAUUAAUAUGAUAUAUGAUUGAGUCCAGUCAUGCGUGGUGCCAUGCGUGAAGAUGGCCUAUUCACGCGUGAGAGUGAGAAUGACAGCGAGGGCGGAGCAUGCGCAGUGCAUCAGCCGAGCUAAUACAUCAGCAGCAGCGGCAGCCAUAUUUUUAGGCCAUUUGUUAAUGGAUACGUAUUAUAUGUUAGGUGCUUUCGGGACUACGUGCGGUUCCUGCACCAACCGAGAGAUCGGUGCAUUUAAACUGCGCAUAUCCUAAUAUGCAUCCAUGCUGUUAUCAUCGUUGUCUUCGUCUGCUGCUGUCAUAUUUGACUUUUCAAACUUUCCUGCUGCUUUUCAGUCUUCCCCUUCAGCACGCUUCGUCCCCUUUCCCCUCCAAUAAGUAGGCUAUAGCUAGCUAUAAUCAGUGCUGUAUGGUGUUACAUAAUAGGGCCAUUUACGAACGCGCCCAUACGGAAAUGAGAUGUUGCUCCUUAUCUUAUAAACGUUGAUUGUUCUUUGAAUACAUUUCCAAAUUAAAUUUG